rnacentral:rRNA from 1 species
UACGAAGGGGGCUAGCGUUGUUCGGAAUUACUGGGCGUAAAGCGCGUGUAGGCGGGUGGUUAAGUCGGGGGUGAAAGCCCAGAGCUUAACUCUGGAACUGCCUUUGAUACUGGCGGCCUGGAGCAUGAUAGAGGCGAGUGGAAUUGCGAGUGUAGAGGUGAAAUUCGUAGAUAUUCGCAGGAACACCAGUGGCGAAGGCGACUCGCUGGAUCAUUGCUGACGCUGAGACGCGAAAGCGUGGGGAGCAAACAGG